rnacentral:rRNA from 1 species
GAUGAACGCUGGCGGCGUGCCUAAUACAUGCAAGUCGAGCGAACGGACGAGAAGCUUGCUUCUCUGAUGUUAGCGGCGGACGGGUGAGUAACACGUGGAUAACCUACCUAUAAGACUGGGAUAACUUCGGGAAACCGGAGCUAAUACCGGAUAAUAUUUUGAACCGCAUGGUUCAAAAGUGAAAGACGGUCUUGCUGUCACUUAUAGAUGGAUCCGCGCUGCAUUAGCUAGUUGGUAAGGUAACGGCUUACCAAGGCAACGAUGCAUAGCCGACCUGAGAGGGUGAUCGGCCAAACUGGAACUGAGACACGGUCCAGAAUCCUACGGGAGGCAGCAGUAGGGAAUCUUCCGCCAUGGGCGAAAGCCUGACGGAGCAACGCCGCGUGAGUGAUGAAGGUCUUCGGAUCGUAAAACUCUGUUAUUAGGGAAGAACAUAUGUGUAAGUAACUGUGCACAUCUUGACGGUACCUAAUCAGAAAGCCACGGCUAACUACGUG